rnacentral:tRNA from 1 species
GGAAGAGUGUCCGAGUGGUUUAAGGAACCGGUCUUGAAAACCGGCGAGGGGUGCAAGCUCUCCGUGGGUUCGAAUCCCACCUCUUCCG